rnacentral:lncRNA from 1 species
ACUAUUUUCAACAAUUUUUUAAAAAAUGGAUUGUUGAGUUUGAAUAAGUUGAUCAAAUGUAAAGUUAAUUUUGGUGUUGUAAAGACAUGAUCUUAUAAGGUUCCCACUCAAAGAUUCCUAUUAAAGCCAAGUUAAAGAAAAACAGAAAAUUGAAAUAGUAAAGUCUAAAAAAGAUCUUUAUUUUCCCAGGGAAAGCCUAGGUUUCUUUGAGGAUGAGGCUGACUGCCCCCCUCAAGCUGAUUUCAAAUAAAGAAGAAUUCACAGUUUAUUUCUUUUGGAAGAAGCAGAGAAAAUUUUGGAAUGGUGCAACGAAGGCUGAUCACAGUGCUGACUGUUGAUUGAAGGUGAUUUGGGCAGGGGGCAGGGCAGCAGGGUGCUGUUGGCAUCCACAUGGCUCACCUCCUCUGAGCUGGGAGUGGUGGAAUGGUGGCCUGGAAACCCCUACCUCUGGUCUGGGAGCCCUGGAAACUCACCUGACUUCUUAAAACAGCCAAAUAUGUCCAAGGAUACUGCCAGGAGCUUCUCAAGUAAAUGGAAUAAAGGAAGGAACAAGGUAAGCAACAAGAAAGAGUCAUGUUUAAUGUUAACCAGAGUCAAUUUUCUUGCUUUGUGACUUUGAAAUGAAAUUCAGAGCAAAGGGGAGCCUCAGCAUUUUUUAUACACCUCUUCUGAA